rnacentral:lncRNA from 1 species
GUUCCCCACGCAUUGAAUGCCACACAUCUUGCUGAGCCCCUUUCUAAGACCUCCUCGACAGCUUCUGGAAGUUGAACGCUCUGAAAGGGAUCUGUGACCGCGGACAUGAAUUUAGCUCACGAGCAAGAAGUAAGCAAUUUGAAAGGUGGUAAAAGAAUUUUGCACAAUGUGAUAGUCCAGCAUAACGAAAGAAUGCAGGAAUGGCAUAAUGCCAAAUCCGAGGUUAUUGGAUUGGUGAUGGCGACACAAAGAUUGCGCAACACAUGAUUUGACUGGAUUUGAUGACAUCAUAACAGACUACUAUGAAUUAUGUAUUACCUAGGAGUCUCCUAUUCAUGCUGGAACGUUUGUUGAGCAGUGAUGGAACGUCGGCAACACCGGACUUUUUUGCCUGAGGCAAUCCGCAAUAGUUAUUCUGUAAUGGUUCUCGAAACCUCUUAUUCAAGCAAUUCUCAUUUGUGAAAGAUGGUCGGAAA